UACAGAGACUGCAAGCGUUAUUCGGAUUCACUGGGCGUAAAGGGCUCGUAGGCGGCCAACUAAGUCGGACGUGAAAUCCCUCGGCUUAACCGGGGAACUGCGUCCGAUACUGGAUGGCUUGAGUUCGGGAGAGGGAUGCGGAAUUCCAGGUGUAGCGGUGAAAUGCGUAGAUAUCUGGAGGAACACCGGUGGCGAAGGCGGCAUCCUGGACCGACACUGACGCUGAGGAGCGAAAGCCAGGGGAGCAAACGGG
rnacentral:rRNA from 1 species